CAGAGGUCUCCUUCUCCGCCAAACCUCACGGAAUUGUGACAUUCAUGGCGAAUGUGCGGGACCCCAUCCAUCCCUCACCAGCUUGUAUCCUCAGCUUUAUCUGAAGUUAAAAGUAUCUUUCCCAUAAUGAAAUCCAAAGAUGAUGGAAGAGUGCCCCCUCACGGUGUGGAGGUCCUGCUUGGCUAGCAACUGAAUAUGAAGUAAAUUCAAGGGACCCUGCGGACCGGACUGCUAGUGUUUCUAAAUGGGGUGUACACUGGACAAUAAAACACUGAAAGAUUUCUGUUCCUG
rnacentral:lncRNA from 1 species